GGGGGGGGGGGGGGGGGGGCGGGGGGGGGGGAGGGGGGGCGGAGAGGCGCCUGCUGGCAGGGGUACUCGAGUGGCGAACGGGUGAGUAACACGUGGGUGAUCUGCCCUGCACUUCGGGAUAAGCCUGGGAAACUGGGUCUAAUACCGGAUAGGACCACAUUUUGGAUGGUGUGGUGGAAAGUUUUUCGGUGUGGGAUGAGCUCGCGGCCUAUCAGCUUGUUGGUGGGGUAAUGGCCUACCAAGGCGUCGACGGGUAGCCGGCCUGAGAGGGUGUACGGCCACAUUGGGACUGAGAUACGGCCCAGACUCCUACGGGAGGCAGCAGUGGGGAAUAUUGCACAAUGGGCGCAAGCCUGAUGCAGCGACGCCGCGUGGGGGAUGACGGCCUUCGGGUUGUAAACUCCUUUCGCUAGGGACGAAGCGCAAGUGACGGUACCUGGAGAAGAAGCACCGGCUAACUACGUG
rnacentral:rRNA from 1 species